rnacentral:misc_RNA from 1 species
UUCCAUUUCCCUGUCUCUCUCUAUAUUUACACACACUCUUCUCUUGCUUUUUCAUUUGCCGCCCCUCUAUCUCUCUGUAUAUGAUUUUUGAGAUCUAACGAGGAGAGGACUUAAUUCUGUGUUCUAAACCUGAAAGCUUCAGCUUCUAUGGCUUUUUUUUCUUCAUUCUAAUUAGCUUAUACUGUGAGUGUAUCUCUCUUUUUCCGCUCCCCAAUCAAUCAGAUUCUACAAGUGCUUUUCUCGUCUUCUUUAUACAAACUAUGUGGAG